UACGUAGGGCGCAAGCGUUAUCCGGAAUUAUUGGGCGUAAAGAGCCCGUAGGCGGUUUGUCGCGUCUGCCGUGAAAGUCCGGGGCUCAAUUCCGGAUCUGCGGUGGGUACGGGCAGACUAGAGUGAUGUAGGGGAGACUGGAAUUCCUGGUGUAGCGGUGAAAUGCGCAGAUAUCAGGAGGAACACCGAUGGCGAAGGCAGGUCUCUGGGCAUUAACUGACGCUGAGGAGCGAAAGCAUGGGGAGCGAACAGG
rnacentral:rRNA from 1 species